GCAGCCAAGGUUCAGUUAUCUGAUUUGGUGUCUAAAGUAUCCACCCAAUGCCUGAAUUCUGCAUUUUCAGGGAUGAAAGAACUGUCGGAUUUGUGCCUACAGCAAAUAAAAACAACUCAGCCAACGGAUUGUUCAACAGACAGCUGCUUAACCUCCUGUGAAGGCUCUCUCAAGGACCAAGAAUUGUACAAUAACCAAGUCGGAUCGAAAAUUUUGAAUUUUAGAGAAGCUAUAGAACCAAGGAAUCAUGACAAUGGACUCAGGCAGCAGAAGACUGAACUAAGGCUGUGUGAAAACCAGAAAGAGAGCACCAGAUUUCUUUGCGCAACAAAUGACAACGUGGAAAAAGCAUUUGCUCUAGAAGAAAACUCCAGAAAUUUAUCAAUGGCCAUUGGACCUCAGGGAGGACCAUGGAAUGGCAGCAGCAGCUGUUCAGAGGACAGAUUUAAAGAAGCUGAAGCUGAUGCAGAUGCAGAUGCUAAAUAUUUUGACCGAGAUGCUCAUAAAACAGAGAAUCAGAAGACGACGCCAGGGUCUAAACUACCAUACUUUACAACAGAACUGGAUCUAAACAUAGAUGACAAAAAUGAUGCUGCUUCAAGUUGCAAGAAAUUUGAUUUAAAUAGCUUCGGCUGGGGCUGAGAGGAAAAUAUUUUCAGAGAUGUUGGUAUUUUGCAUCAAGGAAGAAAGUUUAAAUUCAAUUUCAGAAACUGAAUUCUCUCAUUUGGUUAGGGAAGAUAAAAUCAUUGAGAUAAUUAAGGGUCUGCCACAUUUAAAUUUAGAGCAUUGUAACAUCAUGAGUUGUUCGUGCUUAAAUUUCGAAUCUAAUAUUAAGUUGAUGGUCGACAGCAAUAUAUGACUUCAAAUAUAUCUCUGCAAUUCUGUGUGUUAAACUCCUACAUAUUUACAUAGUUGGUCUCAAGCCUAGACAUGAGACAAGGGCUGCAACAGGUUGAUAGCAAGUGGUAGUUGACCUUUGUCACGAUAUGACUCCUCACUAACAUUUUGCUGUAUUAGUUGGAUUUUAUUUCUGGUAACCAGACAAUGAAAUUAGAAAUCAAUUAACAUGAUUGGACAAAAUUAGCUCAUCUUUUGGAUUUCCUUUGUUCCUACGUUCCUUUUCAUUUUUAUGUAAACUUCAAAAUAUCAACGAACUUCAAGUAAGACAAACUUAUAUGUUAUCAAUUGCUUUGGUUACUCGAAGACUAUUUAGUGAACUGAUGAAAAGCUUCUUCCCAUCUAAAACCACCAUAAACUCAAAACAUACAAUUAUCACUGCAUUGUCGCCCACAUUCACAAGCAAAGAAGAUAAUCUGUGUGUUUUGAUGCUUAAACUUUGACUGGAUUAGUGGAGCUCCAUUUAACUUCUAUAUCACCAGGUACGUCAUAGGCAUCCAAUUAAGCACUUGAAAUAGAUAACAAUUUGAUCAAUGAUCCACAAAAUUUUAUGGAUUAACUAGAACAGAAAAACAAACAAGUGCAAAUACUAAACACCUACCAACAUUCCUGAAAUCAGAUGUACGCUUCCUUUCUGAAAUUGGACGAGUUUGAGUAAUCCAUCAGAUUCAGACGUGAUCUUACAAAGCUCGGAUAGAAAUGAUAGAAUUCGUCCGUACAAGCAUCCCACAGUCUACCUCUUGAGGGUCGCCAUAGAUGCAAUAGAACGCCACCUUCACGGCUUCACCCGUACCUAAACACAGCAUUUUGUACAUAGAGAAUCCCCUCGAACUCUGUUUAAUGAGUGCAAGUGAACUAAUUGAUUUAAAUUAGCAAUUAAAGUGACGACCGUAUGAAUUGUAGAAUUAUGAAGAAAUUUUGAAUAAAUGCAAUUAUGCAAACGGUUGUAUUCUGGUACUUCUUGAGAUUAUGGUGAACUUGUGACAUUUGAAUUGAGAAAUUGUAUUCUAAUUUGAUAUAAUUCAAUCCAAAUUCGUUG
rnacentral:lncRNA from 1 species